rnacentral:rRNA from 1 species
AUACGUAGGUGGCAAGCGUUGUCCGGAUUUACUGGGCGUAAAGGAUGCGUAGGCGGAUAUUUAAGUGAGAUGUGAAAUUCCCGAGCUUAACUUGGGAGCUGCAUUUCAAACUGGAUAUCUAGAGUGUGGGAGAGGAGAAUGGAAUUCCUAGUGUAGCGGUGAAAUGCGUAGAGAUUAGGAAGAACACCAGUGGCGAAGGCGAUUCUCUGGACCAUAACUGACGCUGAGGCAUGAAAGCGUGGGUAGCAAACAGGAUUAGAUACCCUGGUAGUCCACGCCGUAAACGAUGAGUACUAGGUGUAGGAGGGUCCAACCUUCUGUGCCGCAGUUAACACAAUAAGUACUCCGCCUGGGAAGUACGAUCGCAAGAUUAA